rnacentral:rRNA from 1 species
UACAGAGGUCUCAAGCGUUGUUCGGAUUCAUUGGGCGUAAAGGGUGCGUAGGCGGCGCGGUAAGUCGGAUGUGAAAUCUCGGAGCUUAACUUCGAAACUGCAUUCGAUACUGCCGUGCUUGAGGACUGGAGAGGAGACUGGAAUUUACGGUGUAGCGGUGAAAUGCGUAGAUAUCGUAAGGAAGACCAGUGGCGGAGGCGGGUCUCUGGACAGUUCCUGACGCUGAGGCACGAAGGUCAGGGGAGCAAACGGG